rnacentral:rRNA from 1 species
GAAUAUUGGACAAUGGGGGCAACCCUGAUCCAGCCAUGCCGCGUGUGUGAAGAAGGUCUUCGGAUUGUAAAGCACUUUAAGUUGGGAGGAAGGGCUUUAGGUUAAUACCCUGAAGUUUUGCUGUUACCCACAGUAUAAGCACCGGCUAACUCUAUGCCUGCAGCCGCGGUAAUACGUUGGGGGCAAGCGUUGUCCGGAUUUAUUGGGCGUAAAGGGUGCGUAGGUGGUUCAGUAAGAUGGGUGUGAAAUCCCCGGGCUUAACCUGGGAACUGCUUUCAUAACUGCUGAGCUAGAGUACGGUAGAGGGUAGUGGAAUUUCCUGUGUAGCGGUGAAAUGCGUAGAUAUAGGAAGGAACACCAGUGGCGAAGGCGACUACCUGGGCUAAUACUGACACUGAGGUGCGAAAGCGUGGGGAGCAAAC